GCGGAAACAGCCAUGUCUGCCUCAGUCCACUCACGUGAGCAGCCACACGGGACCCUCAGCCACCCGUUAACCGUGCGGAUCUAACGUGGCCUCAGUAUUGAUCCGCCCCGUUGGUUUGGUUUCAUCUUGCAGGACAGGCUCCUGUGACAAGCUCUCUAAGGAGUUUGGACUCUUGCUUCUGUCACAGCCACAGAGCCUCGGGUCGCCUCCCACGACGUCAUUCCAGGCAGUAAUGGAGUCGCUGACGGGGCAAGGCGAGGACAGUGUGGGCCCCAACAGCUCCUUUCCUCCAGUGCAGCAGCUUGGCGGGCUGGCUGCUCAGCCCGCAUCUGCACCAUCGCCCUGAAGCUCAGAAGGUCCUGGGGACUCGGGCGGGUGCUUCGCCGAAGUGCUGAUUCUGCGUCUGCAGAAGGGCCGUCCCAGGCCCCCUGGAGCCGGUGCACGCCUGUCAGAUGCAGUGACUCGUUCAGUCCUGGGUUAACUGGAUCACAGCACGGUCCUGCCCAGUGGAGCCUCACUCUGGGGGACCAGGCGCCAAAAGGAUGCCUGCAGGAUCCCGAGACUUCUCAGCGCAACGAGACGGGGCCAGGGUGCUGCUCCCAGACAGGUAUGUGGGCUCCCAACGUUCCAGAGGAAGCAAGGACGUCAGGAGCCAGGAGAACAGCUGAGACGAGCCAAUUCUCCAAAGAGCACCCUCUCCAGGCCCCCCUGCCUCGCUGGGAUUGAGGAGGUGCCAAUGUGCAGCGGUGCUGGUGGCUUCUCCAGGCUGCGUGGGAAGAAUGUGGAGGGAGCUGAGGGGGCCCUGGGGCCUGCUGCCCCCAGGCAGCCACCAUUCUGAGGGGACAGCCCUAGCCUCCACUCCCCUGCCUGAGCCCGUCCUGUCACCUUCAUCCAG
rnacentral:lncRNA from 1 species